UAACGCGUGGGAAUCUGCCCUCAAGUGGGGGAUAACCGAGGGAAACCUCGGCUAAUACCGCAUACGGCCUGAGGGCGAAAGAUUUAUCGCUCUAGGAGGGGCCCGCGUCGGAUUAGCUUGUUGGGGGGGUAACGGCCCACCAAGGCUAUGAUCCGUAGCUGGUCUGAGAGGAUGAUCAGCCACACUGGGACUGAUACACGGCCCAAACUCCUACGGGAGGCAGCAGUGGGGAAUAUUGGACAAUGGGCGCAAGCCUGAUCCAGCAAUGCCGCGUGAGUGAUGAAGGCCUUAAGGUUGU
rnacentral:rRNA from 1 species